rnacentral:rRNA from 1 species
AGGAUCAUUACCGAAUUGUCAACACGAGUUGUUGCUGGUCCCCAAACGGGGGCAUGUGCACGCUCUGUUUGUACAUCCACUCACACCCGUGCACCCUCCGUAGUUCUGCAGCCUGGGGGCUCUGUCCCCCUGCCGUAGCUCUAUGUAUUUACACACACACACCGUAAUAAAGUCCCAUGGAAUGUAUACCGCGUUUAACGCAAUACAAUACAACUUUCAGCAACGGAUCUCUUGGCUCUCGCAUCGAUGAAGAACGCAGCGAAAUGCGAUAAGUAAUGUGAAUUGCAGAAUUCAGUGAAUCAUCGAAUCUUUGAACGCACCUUGCGCCCUUUGGCUAUUCCGAAGGGCAUGCCUGUUUGAGUAUCAUGAACACCUCAACUCUCAUGGUUUGCCAUGAUGAGCUUGGACUUUGGGGGUCUUGCUGGCCUGUGGUCAGCUCCUCUCAAAUGAAUCAGCUUGCCAGUGUUUGGUGGCAUCACAGGUGUGAUAACUAUCUACGCUUGUGGUUUUCCAUCAGGUAACCUUCAGUGAUGAAGGUUCGCUGGGGCUCAUAAACGUCUCUCCUCGAUGAGGACAGCUCUUUGAACGUUUGAUCUCAAAUCAGGUAGGACUACCCGCUGAACUUAAGCAUAUCAAUAAGCGGAGGAAAAGAAACUAACAAGGAUUCCCCUAGUAACUGCGAGUGAAGCGGGAACAGCUCAAAUUUAAAAUCUGACGUGCCUCUGGUCGUCCGAGUUGUAGUCUGGAGAA